CCUACGGGAGGCAGCAGUGGGGAAUAUUGGGCAAUUGGCGCAAGCCUGACCCAGCAACGCCGCGUGAAGGAAGAAGGCUCUCGGGUUGUAAACUUCUUUUCUGAGGGACGAAGAAAGUGACGGUACCUCAGGAAUAAGCCACGGCUAACUACGGGCCAGCAGCCGCGGUAAUACGUAGGUGGCAAGCGUUAUCCGGAUUUCAUGGGUGUAAAGGGCGUGUAGGCGGGAAAGCAAGUCAGAUGUGAAAACGCAGGGGUCAAACCUGAGCCUGCAUUUGAAACUGUUUUUCUUGAGUGCUGGAGAGGCAAGCGGAAUGCCGGGUGUAGCGGUGAAAUGCGUAGAUAUACGGAGGAACACCGGUGGCGAAGGCGGAUUGCUGGACAGUAACUGACGCUGAGGCGCGAAAGCGUGGGGAGCGAACAGGAUUAGAUACCCGAGUAGUC
rnacentral:rRNA from 1 species